rnacentral:rRNA from 1 species
GACAGAGGGUGCAAACGUUGUUCGGAAUUACUGGGCGUAAAGCGAGUGUAGGCGGUCCUAUAAGUCGGGUGUGAAAGCCCUGGGCUCAACCCAGGAAGUGCACUCGAUACUGUGGGCUAGAGUAUCGGAGAGGUUGGUGGAAUUCUCGGUGUAGAGGUGAAAUUCGUAGAUAUCGAGAGGAACACCGGUGGCGAAGGCGGCUUCCUGGACCGACACUGACGCUGAGGCGCGAAAGCCAGGGGAGCAAACGGG